GACGAACGCUGGCGGCGUGCUUAACACAUGCAAGUCGAACGGAAAGGCCCCUUUGGGGGUUCUCGAGUGGCGAACGGGUGAGUAACACGUGAGUAACCUGCCCUGGACUUCGGGAUAACUUCAGGAAACUGGGGCUAAUACCGGAUAGGAAUCCUUGCUGCAUGGUGGGGGUUGGUAAGCUUCGGCGGUUUUGGAUGGACUCGCGGCUUAUCAGCUUGUUGGUGGGGUAGUGGCUUACCAAGGCUUUGACGGGUAGCCGGCCUGAGAGGGCGACCGGCCACAUUGGGACUGAGAGACGGCCCAGACUCCUACGGGAGGCAGCAGUGGGGAAUAUUGCACAAUGGGCGGAAGCCUGAUGCAGCAACGCCGCGUGCGGGAUGACGGCCUUCGGGUUGUAAACCGCUUUCAGCAGGGGCGAAGCUUGUGGUGACGGUACCUGCAGAAGAAGCACCGGCUAACUACGUG
rnacentral:rRNA from 1 species